GACGAACGCUGGCGGCGUGCCUAAUACAUGCAAGUAGAACGCACAGUUUAUACCGUAGCUUGCUACACCAUAGACUGUGAGUUGCGAACGGGUGAGUAACGCGUAGGUAACCUGCCUGGUAGCGUGGGAUAACUAUUGCAAACGCUAGCUAAUACCGCAUAAUAUUGAUUAUUGCAUGAUAAUUGAUUGAAAGAUGCUAUUGCAUCACUACCAGAUGGACCUGCGUUGUAUUAGCUAGUAGGUGAGGUAACGGCUCACCUAGGCGACGAUACAUAGCCGACCUGAGAGGGUGGUCGGCCACACUGGGACGGAGACACGGCCCAGACUGCUACAGGAGGCAGCAGUAGGGAAUCUUCGGCAAUGGACGAAAGUCUGACCGAGCAACGCCGCGUGAGUGAAGAAGGUUUUCGGAUCGUAAAGGUCUGUUGUAAGAGAAGAACGGGUGUGAGAGUGGAAAGUUCACACUGUGACGGUAUCUUACCAGAAAGGGACGGCUAACUACGUG
rnacentral:rRNA from 1 species